GAUGAACGCUGGCGGCGUGCCUAAUACAUGCAAGUCGAGCGAACAGACGAGGAGCUUGCUCCUCUGAUGUUAGCGGCGGACGGGUGAGUAACACGUGGAUAACCUACCUAUAAGACUGGGAUAACUUCGGGAAACCGGAGCUAAUACCGGAUAAUAUUUUGAACCGCAUGGUUCAAUAGUGAAAGACGGUUUUGCUGUCACUUAUAGAUGGAUCCGCGCUGCAUUAGCUAGUUGGUAAGGUAACGGCUUACCAAGGCAACGAUGCGUAGCCGACCUGAGAGGGUGAUCGGCCACACUGGAACUGAGACACGGUCCAGACUCCUACGGGAGGCAGCAGUAGGGAAUCUUCCACAAUGGGCGAAAGCUUGACGGAGCAACGCCGCGUGAGUGAUGAAGGUCUUCGGAUCGUAAAACUCUGUUAUUAGGGAAGAACAAAUGUGUAAGUAACUAUGCACGUCUUGACGGUACCUAAUCAGAAAGCCACGGCUAACUACGUG
rnacentral:rRNA from 1 species